GAGAGGUAGCUUUUACAUAUAUGUAAUUAUCUUUUUUGGGGUGUACAAGGGGAUGGAACCUGGGUCCUUGCACUUGCAAGACAGGCAGUGGAACUAAAUUAUCUUUUGUUUACAUACAAACAUGUUUGUGUGUGUCUAUGUGUAACUGUAUACAUAAUUUGGAGGGGGUUUUUUAACCUCUCAGCUUUAAGACUGCCUACAACAUACUCCCUUCAUGACUCUGCAGUGCAUCCAGUGCAUGGUUUUAUUGGCAUGAAUAAUGCAGAUGGCAGAGAGAAUGCUUGGGGCCUUCUCUUUGUCCAUAUCAAAGUUAGAGACCUAGAGACAAAGAAGGCAAUCCUGAAAGCUUCAAGGUAGCUGGAAGGUAGGAAAUAAUCGAGUUUAUGAAGGUUGAGAUCUUCAAUACUUUCUAUGUUCACUUUGAUGCCAUUUCUUAAAAUGUGCCCCUUUCUUCAGAGUGUGCCACUGAGAAGGCAAAUAGACCUUCCUGACCAACAAACCAAGAAUCAUUUUAACAAAAUGUACACUUGAGUAGUCCGACUUUGUCUUCUGACCUGUAAUUUCCUAAGAUUACCCGUUCAAUUGAGGCCCAAAAGGAACUGGAAAGAAGAGUCUCGCAGACUAUUUGUCUUCUUUGCUUUCUCUGUUUCAGUCCCACCUACAGUUAGUUAACAGACACUGAGCACUUGCCUCCACAGAGCAGGAGAGCAGAACGCUGUGCUGUGAACUGCUGAGAUACACUGCGUAGCAGUUGGAGGUUUCGGAAAGUGGAAUGAGCCAAACACAAGCUCAAGUGCUGGUUACAAGGGUAGGAAAAGAACCUCAAAGCUGAUUCACAGGAAGAAAGAGUGCAGAUACCAGAGUGGAGAGGAGGAAACUCAUGUCAGAAUGCCGUGAUGAAACAUCAGAACCAGAACAUGACAGCUUGAGAGUCACAGGAAAUGAAACAGAAGCUGCCCUUCUGCUGAGGAUGCUGAGUGACGCUAGGUGAGCUUGUUUUUGAUCUGAGCUGUCUGCCCACUUUUCAGGGCCAUAAGUGGUUGUAAUUUAGUGAAACCCCAAGACACUGAACAACCAAAUUAUAAACUGAAGAUUCUGUGUUCUUAGAAAAAGAAAGGAAAACAAGACCUAGAACUGUAGCUAAUGUGGCUGAAUUCGAAGGCCCAUGUAAUAAUACACUUCUAUUGUUCAGUCCCAAUUUAUCUGG
rnacentral:lncRNA from 1 species